rnacentral:lncRNA from 1 species
ACUUUCAUUGUAGAUACGCAAUCUUCACAUCGUGAGUGCAACAACAACGUUUUCCUCAAAUCACACGAGUUGGUAGUGGGUGCUCGAUGCUCUGAUAAUCCACCCUAUCCUGAGGAAAAAAAAUUUGUGUGUCAGGGAGGAACAUACUUAUAUAUAUAUAUGUAUAUAUACAUAUGUAUAUAUAUAUAUAUAUAUUAUAAUGAGUUGAAACACGACUAACCGAUUAAUUUAACAGAGAAGAGCAUUGCCGUCCCCCGCACAACAGCCAGAUGUCAAGAUUCCUGCUUUACGCGUUGCGCAGCGUGACGAGGCAACGCACCGAAAUAUCUGCCGAAGAAGGUUAAAGUAAACCUUGGUGAGACUCGAAUGUCAAACCGGGAACAACACUGGGCCCCUAUAAGUCCAACACUUGGUUGACAAUUUCCAAGCCCCUGUUUCGCAUUCCAGGGCGAGCCAACACACCUUUCCUGCUUGACCUGGGUAAGCUUCUUUGGUGCAAUUCCGCACCUUUAUUAUGUGGGGAAGCACUAACAUGACACCUAAUUCAAAGAAACCCCACUUUUUCUGUGGGAUGCUGGGAGUGGGUUGACCCUUUUCCCCACAGCUUUCCUCUUUACAGUUUGGAUGGCCCGGUAGCAUCAGCAGCAAUUACUUCUCCCCCUCCCCUCCCCUCCCCUUUUUUAAGCCACAAAAAAAAAAAAACAAACAAACAAACAAACAA